UAGGAGCCCCGGGGGGCCGCAGAGAAAUGGCCCAGGCGACUGUUUAGCAAAAACACAGCACUAUGCAAACCUCUAAGGGGAAGUAUAUGGUGUGACGCCUGCCCAAUGCCAAAAGGUUAAAGGGAUAUGUCAGCUGCAAAGCGAAGCAUUGAACCUAAGCCCUGGUGAAUGGCCGCCGUAACUAUAACGGUGCUAAGGUAGCGAAAUUCCUUGUCGGGUAAGUUCCGACCUGCACGAAUGGUGUAACGAUCUGGGCACUGUCUCAACGAAAGACUCGGUGAAAUUGUAGUAGCAGUGAAGAUGCUGUUUACCCGCGAAAGGACGAAAAGACCCCGUGAACCUUUACUGUACUUUGGUAUUGAUUUUUGGUUUGUUAUGUGUAGGAUAGCCAGGAGACUAGGAACACUCUUCUUCAGGAGAGUGGGAGUCAACGUUGAAAUACUGGUCUUAACAAGCUGGGAAUCUAACAUUAUUCCAUGAAUCUGGAAGAUGGACAUUGCCAGACGGGCAGUUUUACUGGGGCGGUAUCCUCCUAAAAAGUAACGGAGGAGCCCAAAGCUUAUUUCAUCGUGGUUGGCAAUCACGAGUAGAGCGUAAAGGUAUAAGAUAGGUUGACUGCAAGACCAACAAGUCGAGCAGAGACGAAAGUCGGGCUUAGUGAUCCGGCGGUGGAAAGUGGAAUCGCCGUCGCUUAACGGAUAAAAGGUACUCCGGGGAUAACAGGCUGAUCGCCACCAAGAGUUCAUAUCGACGUGGCGGUUUGGCACCUCGAUGUCGGCUCAUCGCAUCCUGGGGCUGGAGAAGGUCCCAAGGGUUUGGCUGUUCGCCAAUUAAAGCGGUACGCGAGCUGGGUUCAAAACGUCGUGAGACAGUUUGGUCUCUAUCCUUCGUGGGCGCAGGAUACUUGAGAGGAGCUGUUCCUAGUACGAGAGGACCGGAAUGGACGAACCAAUGGUGUGUCGGUUGUUUUGCCAAGAGCAUAGCCGAGUAGCUACGUUCGGAAAGGAUAAGCAUUGAAAGCAUCUAAAUGCCAAGCCUCCCUCAAGAUAAGGUAUCCCAAUGAGAC
rnacentral:rRNA from 1 species